CUCCGCCCUCCCCAAGAAAAAAGAGAGAAGAAGACACCACCCCUAUUUAUGAUUAUCGUCCUGCUGCUGCUGUUCCAAUCGCUGUGCCUCUACUGCCAACGUCUGGUGCUCUACGUCCACGACCGAUGCUUUCCAAAGAACGUGCGCCUGCUGCAGGAGGUGGCCGAAACGGUGGGCGAUCGUAAGGCACCACAGCGCCUGGCGGAGCAGCAGUUGGAGCAACAGAAGCGCAGCCAGAAGCGGCGCAUCCUCGAACCAAUUCUUCCGCUCGUUGGUGGCCUCAAUUCCGAGGCCUGUCGCUUUUGUGCACACAGUCCGCAGGGCUACUGUCGCCACCACUUCCAUCUGCAGGAGCUGCAGCUGCACAAGCAGAGGGGCUCCCGUGGUGAGCAGGAUUUCCGCCAGAUACGCCGAAUCAAGCGGGAGCUAAAGCGUAGUCUUGGCCAGCAGCAGCAGCAACUGCUGCCGGCGAGGAGCUACCGUCCAGUCCGCCUAAGUUCCAGCUGGAGCAGCAGCUCCCUGAGCAGUGGUUACGCGUCACUGACCAGCGUUGGAUCCCAGCUGGAGCUGGAGGAGGCGGCAUUGGAUCAGGAGAAUAUAGAGGACAUACCACUGAAGGAGGAAGUGGAGCUGCAGGACCCGCCGCAGGAGGAAACUCCACAGCGCCUAGUAACCACGUACUUGUAGAUAAACGCUUCUGACUCUAGCAUCUACUUGGAGUUCAUCUGGAACUGGAGACCACUACAAAGAGAUGCGGCUCACAUUAAGGAUGUAUUGAGAAAAAGGUAUAACAUAGUUAACCACUAGAUGAACCAAAGAACGAACAGCUACGACGCUGUAGACGCCACCCUUGAAGCCGCUCCUUAAACAAUUCCGACAACUUGAGAGCACCCUGGAGAAGCACAUCCACCCCAGCAAGCCAACCCCAUUGACAAGCUAACCCCCCAUACGGUUUGAAGGGUUCCCUUUGUCAAAUUGAUUCAAAUUGAGAAGCGAAAAAUUUCUAGUCGCAACACAAUGUCUGAUGUGGAAGUGGAUCCACAGCAGGCUCACCCCCAUCCAAUGGUGGCGAUUGCUCCGAGGAGACGUCGUCCAGGCGGCCGACGAGGAGGAGGAGGAGUAGGAGGAGGUUUGCAGACCGGUACAAUGGAUGCAGCUACGUCCUCGUCGCCGCCACCCCGUUUCUGUCCGCUGGCCGAGGGCGUCGAGGACAACUGGACGUGGAGCAAGCGGCAUCGCUCCAAGGAAGUAGUGCUCAGAGGCCCCAACUCGCGGACCGUGCACUUCCAUCCCAACUGGAGCAAGGGCACUGCCGGUGUCCAGGGCAAAAGAUCCCUGAACAACGGACGAUAUUACUGGGAGCUCCAUGUCUCGCAGCGGGUCUUUGGCACCUCGAUAAUGUUCGGUAUCGGUACCAAGUCCGCCCGGCUCCAUGCCAACGCCUUCCGGAACAUGCUGGGCGAGAACGAGCACGGCUGGGGAUUGUCCCACAAGGGCGUGCUCUGGCACAAGGGCGUGGCUCUGCUGUACACGAAGCGCUUCCGCGAGAAUCAGCCCACCCAGAUCGGAGUGCUCUUCGAUGGCAUCGAGGGCACACUCACCUUCUACAAGGACGGCAAGUGCCUGGGCGUCGCCUUCCGUGGAUUGGAUCAGAUUGAUGAGCCCUUGUACCCCAUUGUAUGCUCUACUGCCGCCAAAACGGAGAUGACCCUGAAAUGCACCAGGAGGGAGUUCGUCAACCUGCAAGAUCGCUGCCGGGCGGUAAUCAUGCGGCGGGUGCGGAGCGCAUCGCAACUGGAGAAGCUGAAGCUACCGCUGCCCAUCGCCGACUAUCUGAGAGAGGUGAUCGAUGAGAAGGAGCCACUGCGUCAGGUGAAUCAGCUGGAGAUGUGCAUUAUGAAUUACGAUUUGUAUGAGGCCCGUGAAUGAAUUAAGUGCCAUCACAUAUUGGAGUGUGCACACGUCUCCCAGAAGAUGCAGUGGCGCCUCUGGGACGUUUGGUGCAUUUCCCGUAGUAGAAAAAUGUGGGGAAAUAGGCCAAUUCGGUGCAAUAUUUGUGAUAUAAGAAAUGAGAGUACGAGUAUA
rnacentral:misc_RNA from 1 species